GGUAGGAUUUAUCUUUUAUAUGUAGCUUCCAUGUUGUCACUUCACUCUUGUCUCUCUCUUCUUAAAGUCUGGCUUGUUUCCUCUUAAAGGUGCCUGAGCUGGGAACUGUUUGCCCGCAUCCUCUUUGGCAUCCCUGGUUGUUUGCCACCGUUGACCACGUGACCACUGCUCUCUCUUGUCCUUUGAGACUGCACUCCUGAUUGCUCUGCUGCCUUUCC